UAAAACUAAAUUUGAGUUUUGUGCUAGAGAUGCCAUUAUCGUGACUCUUCUAAGGGACAGCCUUGGAAGUCCUGUGAUCAGCCCACCUGGGAUAAGGUUCCCUGCUUGUCUUUUCCCCUCUCACCAUUUUCUUAAUUGAAGUGGUUUGAACGUGUUUUUGUGACCAAAAGGGCCUAAGACAGACAUGAGUAGACUUGGUUUUUGUUUUGACUCUGGUGUUAACUAAGUUACAAUUUGUUGAAUUGGUCUAGAUCAGCAUUUUCCCCAAUGAUAUCCCUCAAAACACUAACUCUGCGGGAUGCUCUUUAAAGGGUUUCUUGCUGAAAUAAAUUUCAGAUAUAUGGCCAAUAAUUUUGGAGUAUCACUAGGCCUAGUAGCAUAAAAGGCUAUCAGAAUUUUACAUGAAAUAAAUGAAUUUAACUUGGUAUAACUGUGAGGUUUCCUUAAUCUAUCCUGCCACAAAAUCAUUACCAGUACUAUGCUGUGCCUCUAGAGUUCCGAGGAAUACUUGGAAAAUGCUGGGUUAGCUAAUAUCUAGGUCUCUAGUUCUAACUCUGAAAGUUUGACUGCAAUGACAAAAUGUGUCAGAAAAUCAGAGUUCUUUUUUUUUCAUGUGAAAGCUGCUUUCCCUCUUGUGUCUUCCUCUGCUUAAUAAUUGAUACUGUCUCAUCUUAAUGGGAAAAUUCUUUUCUGGCUCCCAAACUUCAGACUGGAUGUGAAUUUUUGUUGCAAUAAUUUCUAAUGAGGACUAGAGAAAAUUAGGGUUGGCUUUGUCAAGGCAGAUGAAAGUAGAUUUGUAGGAAGAUAAGUGCAACAUUGUGGUAUUAGAUAAUUAAUUUAGAAGAAUGAGAUUUUGGAGUCAUCCAAAAUAGAGAUUAAAAUUUAAGCCAGGGGAGUCAUCGUGGAAAUAGAAAAUGGAAGGAUGAAGUUACUUCUUAUAAACUGGGAGGAUUUUUACUCUUCAUAACAAACAUUUAGCAUCUUGGGGCUUUUGGUUUAUGGCCACUAACUGGGUCACUCUCAGUAAAUCAUAUUCCUCUGUGGGCCACAGCUCCUUUAUGUGCAAAAUGAGAGUGUUUCACGAAAUGGUUCCUUCUGUUCUAAGUCAGUGAUCCCUAUGAAAUGUGCUUAAAAGCCUUCUGUGUUUUGUAUACUAUUGGUCUGUGGAGAAACACAGUCAAAAAGACUUUCCUUCUUAAAUGUAUUUAUAUUCCCAAUAAUCAAUCUGGCUUAAAAUAUGGGGUGGAAUUUUCCUGAAGAUAUUGGUAAUGUUCUUGGUGGAAAUAACAUAGUGUUGGGAAAGGAAUUAGUGACAAGCAACUUAGAAUUAAGGGGAAGAUAUAGUAAAACUCUAAAAAUUAUUUUUUCUUUCUAGUAUAGAAAUGCACAAAUAAAUUUGAGGUAAUUAUUAGAAUCAGAGUAAUACAGAAAAAAUGCUGAAUGUAAUUAAUUUUGAUUAUUUCAAUAGAUUAUUGAAAGCAGAAAACACAGAUAUAGGCAAUAGUAGUGAAAGAACAUAGACUCUGGGACAAGUAGAGCAUUUGAGGUAGCUCUCUACAUGGUGGAAAAGACCUUAAGGGCAGGCUGGGACAUCAUUUCAGAUUUUUAUUUUCAAUUCCCAGCAUGUUCUUUUGCUAACCUUUUUCUUUUUAAUUACAUUCUCAUUUCAUCCAAGCCAACAGCUUCAGAAUUACCGUGCUUUUUGUUUCAUGCAGUCGGUUUGCAAAUAGAGCAUGUCUGGGUUCCUCUGUGGCAAAGAGAAUUAAAAAAAAAAGUUAACUUUGAUUCUGUGACAAAAUGUCUGUAAACACAACAAAACUUAGUCAUGGUCCCACACAGAGUGGCUUUAUUAAGCUGUCUGGUCCUGACUUCUCCCAAAGUAAAGCUUUAAAACUCCUUAAACGUAUUUACUAGCCUUAAGCAAUCAAUGGUAAAUGACCUUAAUGUUUACUUCUAGUGAAGAACACUUCACAUCUUAAGGAUACAAAAGUAGUCCAAGCAUUCAAUGGUUAAAUAGAGCAAACAAUUUUUUAUUUAUCACCUCGGGCCUGAAAAACUGUUGCAUACAGCAGUCAUAAGCAGUGUCCACUUUUAAUACGGUAUUUGCAACUCAAAUGUUUUCUUCUUCAAUUUUAAUCUGCAAUUGCAAAUUCCAUAGUCCCUUUUGUUUGCAUAUCCUCAGGGUUUUGUUCUGCCAAAUCGUUGGCUCACCACUUUCCAUGGUAAUUUAUAGAACCCGGUUCACUUUGUGUCACUACAGGUUAUAAAUGAAAAUGAACCUUUUUAUAAGGCCUUAAAACUUAUCCCUUCCUAGGAAAUAGAAUGGGCAUCAUCCUGUAUUUUGGAAGAGAAACAGGUGUAGUUACUGUAUGGCUGUCCAGGUAGACAGAAGAACUCAAAAUGU
rnacentral:lncRNA from 1 species